rnacentral:lncRNA from 1 species
AGAGGAUUUUACCCUUUAAGCGGACCUGUUCUUUUGCUCCCUCUUUGCUUCUUAGGGAUUAUAAGGAGCAUCUGCUUAGCUUCCUUCUGCUCGCCUGGCAGGGUAUCACUGGUGUACUUUCCCGGUCGCUCCUUCUUCUCUAGCACCAGUCACUUCAAUCUACUUCUCAUCAGUGAGCGGCACAUGUGAGAUAAACUCUCACCAAUUUCAGUGAUUGUUCCAACAGAAACCUGCGUGCACAAUUAUACAUAAGAGACAAUGUCGCCACAGUAUUACGUGGCAAAGGGGAUUGAACCUAAUAAUAACUGAUGACCCACCAACUUGCAACCUUCAAAAUUUGGCUUCAGCUGCAGCCUCUGUACACUUUGCCUGAAGUUAUCUUGCAUACUCACUUCCUGAAAGAAGCCUAAAAUGGUCAUCGGAAGAUAAUAAUUGUGAGUAUUUGUAUCUUUUUCUGUCGCAAGCUUACAGUGUUUUUCCUAAGCUUGCUACGUGCCCAAGAACAUAGAACAACACGUACUUUCAGAAUUCAAAUCAAUUUUGUGUAUCCUGAUAGUCUUUUAGAUCUCUGAACAGAGCUA